AGUGAACGCUGGCGGCAGGCCUAAUACAUGCAAGUCGAACGGCAGCACAGCAGAGCUUGCUCUGUGGGUGGCGAGUGGCGGACGGGUGAGGAAUACGUGGGAAUCUGCCCAGUCGUGGGGGAUAACGUAGGGAAACUUACGCUAAUACCGCAUGCGCCCUUCGGGGGAAAGCCGGGGACCUUCGGGCCUGGCGCGAUUGGAUGAGCCCACGUCGGAUUAGCUAGUUGGCGGGGUAAAGGCCCACCAAGGCGACGAUCCGUAGCUGGUCUGAGAGGAUGAUCAGCCACACUGGAACUGAGACACGGUCCAGACUCCUACGGGAGGCAGCAGUAGGGAAUAUUGGACAAUGGGCGCAAGCCUGAUCCAGCCAUGCCGCGUGAGUGAAGAAGGCCCUCGGGUUGUAAAGCUCUUUUGUCCGGAAAGAAAAGCGCCGGGUUAAUACCCUGGUGUCCUGACGGUACCGGAAGAAUAAGCACCGGCUAACUU
rnacentral:rRNA from 1 species